UACGAAGGGGGCUAGCGUUGCUCGGAAUUACUGGGCGUAAAGUGUGCGCAGGCGGUCGUUCAAGUCGAGUGUGAAAGCCCCCGGCUCAACUGGGGAGGGUCACGCGAUACUGAUCGACUCGAAGGCAGGAGAGGGUAGUGGAAUUCCCGGUGUAGUGGUGAAAUGCGUAGAUAUCGGGAGGAACACCAGUGGCGAAGGCGACUACCUGGCCUGUUUCUUGACGCUGAGGCGCGAAAGCUAGGGGAGCAAACGGGG
rnacentral:rRNA from 1 species